UACGUAGGGGGCAAGCGUUGUCCGGAAUCAUUGGGCGUAAAGCGCGUGUAGGCGGCUUGGUAAGUCCGCUCUGAAAACCCGAGGCUUAACCUCGUGGCUUGCGGUGGAUACGGGCAGACUAGAGGUAGGUAGGGGAGAAUGGAAUUCCCGGUGUAGCGGUGAAAUGCGCAGAUAUCGGGAGGAACACCGGUGGCGAAGGCGGUUCUCUGGGCCUUACCUGACGCUGAGGAGCGAAAGCGUGGGGAGCGAACAGG
rnacentral:rRNA from 1 species